rnacentral:rRNA from 1 species
AGAGUGAACGCUGGCGGUAGGCCUAACACAUGCAAGUCGAACGGCAGCACAGUGGUAGCAAUACCAUGGGUGGCGAGUGGCGGACGGGUGAGGAAUACAUCGGAAUCCACCUUUUCGUGGGGGAUAACGUAGGGAAACUUACGCUAAUACCGCAUACGCCCUUCGGGGGAAAGCCGGGGAUCGCAAGACCUGGCGCGGAUAGAUGAGCCGAUGUCGGAUUAGCUAGUUGGUGAGGUAAUGGCUCACCAAGGCGACGAUCCGUAGCUGGUCUGAGAGGAUGAUCAGCCACACUGGAACUGAGACACGGUCCAGACUCCUACGGGCGGCAGCAGUGGGGAAUAUUGGACAAUGGGCGCAAGCCUGAUCCAGCCAGUACCGCGUGGGUGAAGAAGGCCUUCGGGUUGUAAACGGCCCUUUUGGUUAGGAAAGAAAGACAAAGUCGGUUAAAUACCCGGUUGU